GCUGGCGGCACGCCUAACACAUGCAAGUCGAACGCGAACGGGUCUUCGGACCUUAUUAGAGUGGCGGACGGGUGAGUAUCGCGUGGGAACAUGCCCUUCUGUACGGAACAACCAUUGGAAACGAUGGCUAAUACCGUAUACGCCCUUUGGGGGAAAGAUUUAUCGCAGAAGGAUUGGCCCGCGUUAGAUUAGCUAGUUGGUGAGGUAAGAGCUCACCAAGGCUACGAUCUAUAGCUGGUUUGAGAGGAUGAUCAGCCACACUGGGACUGAGACACGGCCCAGACUCCUACGGGAGGCAGCAGUGGGGAAUAUUGGACAAUGGGGGCAACCCUGAUCCAGCGAUGCCGCGCGAGUGAUGAAGGCCUUAGGGUUGUAAAACUCUUUCAGAUGGGAUGAUAAUGACAGUACCAUCAGAAGAAGCUCCGGCUAACUCCGUGCCAGCAGCCGCGGUAAU
rnacentral:rRNA from 1 species